GCCCUUAAAUUAUCGCUAAUUGAUAAAGGAGGAAGGGGGGCAUAGACAGCCAGCAGGUUUGGCCUAGUAGCAGUCCCCUUGAUAGAGUGCGUACUAGCUCACUGAUCGAGCGCUCUUGCGCCGAAUAUAAACGUGGCUCAUCGAUCUGC
rnacentral:ncRNA from 1 species